rnacentral:rRNA from 1 species
GACGAACGCUGGCGGCGUGCUUAACACAUGCAAGUCGAACGGUGAAGGGGUCUGCUUUUGUGGGCCCUGGAUGAGUGGCGAACGGAUGAGUAACACGUGAGUAACCUGCCCCCUUCUUCUGGAUAACCGCAUGAAAGUGUGGCUAAUACGUGAUAUUCUGGGUCUGUCGCAUGAUGGGUCUGGGAAAGAUUGCGCCUUUGGGUGUUUUUGGUGGUGGAUGGGCUCGCGGCCUAUCGGCUUGUUGGUGGGGUGAUGGCCUACCAAGGCGGUGACGAGUAGCCGAGAUGAGAGGGUGGAAGGUCACAAUGGGACGGGGACACGGCCAAGACUCCUACGGGAGGCAGGAGUGGGGAAUAGUGCACAAGGGGCGAAAGCCUGAUGCAGCGACGCCGCGUGAGGGAUGGAGGCCUUCGGGUUGUAAACCUCUUUCGCAAGUGAAGCAGGCCUGCUCCUUGUGGGUGGGUUGACGGUAGCUGGAUAAGAAGCGCCGGCUAACUACGUG